rnacentral:lncRNA from 1 species
UGGCUUUUCCCUGAGCACGUUCAUGUUCGGUAGCAAGCGAGGCCCCGCGCCAUUCCUGAAGCAGAAGCCGCCUGGUGUACCUGUGAUGUGUCUCGUCCGCCGGACAGCAGGAAUGUCUGUGUGUUGCUAAUCUUGUGAAAGCAGUCCUACUGUGCUGUAUAUGCCUAACUCCGUGUUCUCGUCACAGAGCCAGGGACCCUGGGCAGCUCGCUUCAAGCACAGACGUGACAAUGUCACACAGCAGCAGCAACAGAACAAGUGGAAACGCAAGGGGAUCCCGUCUGCCACCUCUUCUGACCGGGUUCCAAGGUCCCGCGCUGGCCUGGCUCACGGAAGGAAGCCCCAGGCCCGUGUUGGGCCAAGUGUCUGUGUGUGUGCAGGAGUGUGUGUGUCCAGCCUGGAGCAGCUGCACCCAACAAGCGUUCUCUAUGCAUGGGAGGAACUUUCCAGAACGGACCCGUUCACACCAGAAAGGUGGCCAACUGCCUGGGGUGUCUUCACUCUCUGCAGGCGUCCUGCCUCAGCCUCCUGA